rnacentral:rRNA from 1 species
UACGUAGGGGGCUAGCGUUGUCCGGAAUCAUUGGGCGUAAAGAGCGCGUAGGCGGCCAGAUAAGUCCGGUGUGAAAGUCACAGGCUCAACCUGUGAAUGCCGCUGGAAACUGUCUGGCUAGAGUCCGGGAGGGGCGAGUGGAAUUCCUGGUGUAGCGGUGAAAUGCGCAGAUAUCAGGAAGAACACCCGUGGCGAAAGCGGCUCUCUGGGACGGUACUGACGCUGAGACGCGAAAGCGUGGGGAGCGAACAGG